GGGGUGUUGGUGGGUGAAAAGCUGGAUGUGACCCAGCAAUGUGUGCUGGCAGCCCAGAAAGCCAACAGCACCCA
rnacentral:snoRNA from 1 species